rnacentral:piRNA from 1 species
CACAUGUGUUGGAAGUUCUGUC